GUUAGAUUUCUUCAGUAAUUUAAUGAGCGUUAUCAGCAAAAAUCAAGUGAUCAUUUGAUGAACUUCAUUUCCUAAAACAUCCAGAAUUGGAGCUCAUAUCUUUGGCAGCUGUAAAGUUUCUGCUCCUUCAAAGUUCACAACACAAUGAAUGAAUUCCUAAAACACUCUCAGUGCUGGAGAGCGUUUGAUGCUGAAGCAGUGACCAGUUUUUCUGUGUCUUCUCUGGAGAUGCACAAUGAGGGACGUCUGCAGCGACUGAGAAAGAGUCUCACCACAUCCUGACAUGAGGAAAAAGACUUUAUUGAAGACUACAAUGAGAAAAACUAUCAGACAGCAGACGGCUGCAUUCAAGGCUACAGGAGGAGCCCUACGAGGACGAGCCGGUCCACCUGAUGGUGGCCAGUCGCUGCGGUUCAAAGCCAACACCGACUACAUGGACUUCUACUGGACCACACGGAGGCCUUCAAACCGGACCAACAAGUUCAGCGACU
ensembl:lncRNA